UUUUCAUCAGACAAUCUGUGUGAGCACUNNNNNNNNNNNNNNNNNNNNUUCUUUAAGGUAAGGAGGUGAUCCAACCGCAGGUUCCCCUACGGUUACCUUGUUACGACUUCACCCCAGUCAUGAAUCACAAAGUGGUAAGCGCCCUCCCGAAGGUUAAGCUACCUACUUCUUUUGCAACCCACUCCCAUGGUGUGACGGGCGGUGUGUACAAGGCCCGGGAACGUAUUCACCGUGGCAUUCUGAUCCACGAUUACUAGCGAUUCCGACUUCAUGGAGUCGAGUUGCAGACUCCAAUCCGGACUACGACGCACUUUAUGAGGUCCGCUUGCUCUCGCGAGGUCGCUUCUCUUUGUAUGCGCCAUUGUAGCACGUGUGUAGCCCUGGUCGUAAGGGCCAUGAUGACUUGACGUCAUCCCCACCUUCCUCCAGUUUAUCACUGGCAGUCUCCUUUGAGUUCCCGGCCGGACCGCUGGCAACAAAGGAUAAGGGUUGCGCUCGUUGCGGGACUUAACCCAACAUUUCACAACACGAGCUGACGACAGCCAUGCAGCACCUGUCUCACGGUUCCCGAAGGCACAUUCUCAUCUCUGAAAACUUCCGUGGAUGUCAAGACCAGGUAAGGUUCUUCGCGUUGCAUCGAAUUAAACCACAUGCUCCACCGCUUGUGCGGGCCCCCGUCAAUUCAUUUGAGUUUUAACCUUGCGGCCGUACUCCCCAGGCGGUCUACUUAACGCGUUAGCUCCGGAAGCCACGCCUCAAGGGCACAACCUCCAAGUAGACAUCGUUUACGGCGUGGACUACCAGGGUAUCUAAUCCUGUUUGCUCCCCACGCUUUCGCACCUGAGCGUCAGUCUUUGUCCAGGGGGCCGCCUUCGCCACCGGUAUUCCUCCAGAUCUCUACGCAUUUCACCGCUACACCUGGAAUUCUACCCCCCUCUACAAGACUCAAGCCUGCCAGUUUCGAAUGCAGUUCCCAGGUUGAGCCCGGGGAUUUCACAUCCGACUUGACAGACCGCCUGCGUGCGCUUUACGCCCAGUAAUUCCGAUUAACGCUUGCACCCUCCGUAUUACCGCGGCUGCUGGCACGGAGUUAGCCGGUGCUUCUUCUGCGGGUAACGUCAAUUGCUGCGGUUAUUAACCACAACACCUUCCUCCCCGCUGAAAGUACUUUACAACCCGAAGGCCUUCUUCAUACACGCGGCAUGGCUGCAUCAGGCUUGCGCCCAUUGUGCAAUAUUCCCCACUGCUGCCUCCCGUAGGAGUCUGGACCGUGUCUCAGUUCCAGUGUGGCUGGUCAUCCUCUCAGACCAGCUAGGGAUCGUCGCCUUGGUGAGCCGUUACCUCACCAACAAGCUAAUCCCAUCUGGGCACAUCUGAUGGCAAGAGGCCCGAAGGUCCCCCUCUUUGGUCUUGCGACGUUAUGCGGUAUUAGCCACCGUUUCCAGUAGUUAUCCCCCUCCAUCAGGCAGUUUCCCAGACAUUACUCACCCGUCCGCCACUCGUCAGCAAAGCAGCAAGCUGCUUCCUGUUACCGUUCGACUUGCAUGUGUUAGGCCUGCCGCCAGCGUUCAAUCUGAGCCAUGAUCAAACUCUUCAAUUUAAAAGUUUGAUGCUCAAUGAAUUAAACUUCGUAAUGAAUUACGUGUUCACUCUUGAGACUUGGUAUUCAUUUUUCGU
rnacentral:rRNA from 1 species